rnacentral:lncRNA from 1 species
AUAGAUUUUUUCAUGAAAGAUAUAAAGCAAGCAUCCUAGAGAUCUAUAGAGAUAGAUGCAAUUGGAUGCUUGUAUUUUCAUAGAUAAAGUAUAGAGAGUAGAUGUUGAAAGGGUUCGACAUAGAAACCUUGAAGAAGGGUCUACUGCUCUCUUGGACAUAGAAGUAUGCCAUAUAAUAUACUUGAACUGAUAUAGAUAAUACUGUAAAUGUCACGAGUAGAUAUCAGUUAUAUCUAGGC